GGAGAUUUCAGUGGAUUUUUGCCAUAGCUUUCAGAGGACUGAUUGAAAGGCGCAGGUCUGACCCCUUGGAGGACUUCUCCCACAAAUCAGACAUGGCUAAUUGAAAUACCAAAAACUCGCUGAGGAAUAAAAACACCAAACACCCCCUGAAGCGGCGGAGCGGGAAAACAAGACGGACAGACGCACGUGAGGAGCGGUGAGAGUGCGUUUCUUCGGUCAUGGUGGAGAGUUAAGGACACUCGACCUCGACGAGAGGACAGGAGGCGACGCUGUAACGGGUUCUUUCUUGGCCUGAAAACAUUUCCAGAGGGUUUUACUUUUUCUCAUCAGGGAAACUACUCACCAUGCAGGACUCUGGGGCGUCCCGUUGGACCCUACCUGGUUCCCAUAUAGUAUCUCCUGCAGCAGAGCGUCUGCGCCACAUACUGGGGGAGGAUGACAACACCCCAACACCCACGAUAUUCACCGAGAUGGACACACUACAGCACGACGGGGACGAGUUAGAGUGGAAAGAGUCUGCCAGGUGGGUGAAGUUUGAGGAGAAAGUGGAGGAAGGAGGAGAGAGAUGGAGCAAGCCUCACGUUUCCACGUUGACCCUGCACAGCCUGUUUGAGCUCAGGACCUGUCUGCAGACGGGGAGUAUUCUGCUCGACCUGGAAGGAUACUCGCUGCCUCAGAUCGUGGAUGACAUCGUGGAUCGGCAGAUAACUGACGGUCUCAUCGCCCCGGACCUGAAGGAGAAGAUCAGCUUCGUGUUGCUCAGAAAGCAUCGCCACCAGACCAAGAAACCGAUCCACCGCUCGCUGGCAGACAUAGGAAAGUCCUCAAACGCCGCCUCCAACCGUAGUUCUCAUGUUAAUCUGAAUCGUAGCACUAGUUCGGCCUCUGGGAUCCACCGCUCCACAGAAGACCUGCGCUCCAGACAGUCCGGCAGCCUCGGCCGCCUGCAUCCUGCACAGAGCCGAAGCAUGAAUGAUAUUUCAGACACACCGAGCACAGACCAGCUGAAGAACAAGUUCAUGAAGAAGAUUCCUCGUGAUGCCGAAGCCUCCAACGUCCUGAUCGGCGAGGUGGACUUUCUGGACAAACCCUUCGUGUCUUUUGUACGUUUGGCUCAGGCGACGACUCUGGGAGGCCUCACGGAGGUCCCUGUCCCGACAAGGUUCCUCUUCAUCCUACUGGGUCCUCAUGGAAAAACCAAGUCCUACAAUGAAAUCGGCAGAGCUAUCGCUACGCUCAUGGUGGAUGAUCUCUUCAGUGACGUCGCCUACAAAGCAAGGGACAGAGACGACCUGAUUGCAGGCGUCGAUGAGUUUCUAGACGAGGUGAUUGUCCUACCUCCAGGAGAAUGGGACCCAAAGAUACGCAUCGAGCCCCCAAAGAAGGUUCCAUCUGCAGAAAUGAGGAAGUCAGUAAUGAACCUGAACGAGCUGGGUCAAAUGAACGGCUCGGCCAGCGGAGCAGCUGGAGGAGAGGACGAGGAACUUCCUGCUCCACAUGAGCUCGGAGAGGAGCUGAAAUUCACUGGGAGGUUUGCAGGUGGACUAUGGCUGGACAUCAAACGGAAGAUCCCAUGGUACUGUAGUGAUAUCUACGACGGCUUCCAUAUCCAGUCCAUCUCCGCUGUCCUCUUCAUCUACCUGGGCUGCAUCACCAACGCCAUUACCUUUGGCGGACUGCUAGGGGACGCCACCGACAACUACCAGGGAGUGAUGGAGAGCUUCCUCGGCACGGCUUUAGCAGGGACGGUCUUCUGCGUGUUUGGUGGGCAGCCUCUCAUCAUCCUCAGCUCGACUGGACCCAUUCUUAUCUUUGAGAAACUGCUGUAUGACUUCAGCAAGAGCAGCGGCAUCGACUACAUGGAGCUGCGUCUGUGGAUCGGCCUCCACUCCUGUCUGCAGUGUUUCCUGCUGGUGAUCACUGACGCCAGCUACAUUAUCAAGUACAUGACCCGCUUCACUGAGGAAGGUUUCUCCAGCCUCAUCUCCUUCAUAUUCAUCUCUGACGCCAUUAAGAAAAUGGUCGGAGCCCUGAAGUAUUACCCGAUCAACCGCGGCUUCAAGCCGGACUUCAUCACCGGAUACAAGUGUGACUGUAUCGCACCGGACCAGGCAUCUGGACUGGGUUAUAACAUUUCAGCUCCACUUGCAGAUGAUAAUAUGACUCUGUUGUUCAACUUGACGGACAUGGACUGGAGUCAGAUGAGUAAGAAAGAGUGCGUCAAGUACGGCGGCAUGCUGGUGGGGAAGGCCUGUAAGUACGUUCCCGACUUGGCCCUCAUGUCCUUCAUCCUCUUCUUCGGCACCUACUCCAUGACGGUCUCUCUCAAGAAGUUCAAGUUCAGCCGCUACUUUCCAACAAAGGUCCGUUCCCUCAUCAGUGAUUUCUCCAUCAUCAUAUCUAUCCUGGUGUUUUGUGGACUGGAUUGUCUCCUCGGUCUCGAGACGCCCAAACUGAACGUUCCCACCGAGCUGAAGCCUACCCGUCCUGACCGAGGCUGGCUGGUGAUGCCGUUCGGUAAGAACCCCUGGUGGUGGUAUCUGGCCAGCUCCAUCCCCGCCCUCCUGGUCACCAUCCUCAUCUUCAUGGACCAGCAGAUCAGCGCCGUCAUCGUCAACCGCAAGGAGAACAAACUGAAGAAAGGUUGUGGUUACCACCUGGACCUGUUCUGGGUCGGGGUCCUGAUGGCUCUGUGCUCCUUCAUGGGUCUGCCUUGGUACGUCGCCGCCACCGUCAUCUCCAUCGCUCACAUCGACUCUCUGAAGAUGGAGAGUGAGUCGAGCGCUCCAGGAGAGCAGCCGCAGUUCCUUGGAGUGAGGGAGCAAAGGUUGACGGGGAUUUUAGUUUUCGUCCUGACGGGGCUCUCAGUGUUCCUCGCUCCUGUUCUCCAGUUCAUCCCCAUGCCGGUCCUGUAUGGAGUCUUCCUUUACAUGGGCGUGGCCUCACUGAGUGGCAUCCAGUUCUGGGAGCGAAUCAAGCUGUACCUGAUGCCGCCCAAACACCAGCCGGACUUCUCCUUCCUGCGUCACGUUCCUCUGAGGCGAGUCCAUCUCUUCACCCUGGUGCAGAUCCUCUGUUUGGCUGUACUCUGGAUCCUCAAGUCCACCUUCCUGGCUAUCAUCUUCCCAGUGAUGAUUCUGGGUCUGAUGGUCGUACGAAAGCUCCUGGAUCUGAUGUUCUCGCAACACGACCUGGCCUGGCUGGACGACAUCCUGCCCGACAAAGACCAGAAGAAGAAGGAGGACGACAAGAAGAAGAAGAAGAAGGGGGCGGAGCCUGAGAGCGAUGAGGAGUGUUGCUGAAAAGGCACUGUAUAACACUUACUACAGUCUUUCUGUGUGUCCAUCCCCUCUAAGUCGAUCUGUCCUGCUACGCACCAACACUUAGGAACUGUUGUUUACUCUGUUAGCAUGUCGGACAGAGCUGCCGUCCACGCAUGUUUCUGUUUGAAGGAUAAGACUCAAGCUAUUCCAGAUUUUUGUCCCAUCAAAUGAUGUGUUUUCAGGUCGGUUAUCCAAGUUAGUUAGUUAGCUUAGUCUAAAUGAAAAGCCACAAAGUGCAUCAAAGUCUGAUAAUCAAAUAAACGAUGAGAAAAAAUGUUCAAACAGCAUAGUAGUUCGGCCAAAGUAGCUUUUUUUGAAUGUUAUUUAGACUAGCUAGUAAACGGCCUUAGCUAGCGAGCUAACUGCUAAAGGCCAACUAGCCAUCGCUAAAGGCUGACUACCCAAAUCAUGCUAACAACUCGAAUAGGAAACAAAAACUAGAACUUCCAGAAGCAAAGCAGACGAACAUUUGCAACGGAUAUAUUUACGACGAUGGAAGGUGAACUUUUCGGAAGUAAGCUACGAUGUGCAAAACAAUUACGAAAAGUAACGAAAGUGAAGGAAAGCCAUAACGAAAAAGCAACAUUUAAAACACACUUUAAAGAGAGAGCAGUGUUGGUCAAUGUGUAACAUUUUGACUACUAAACUAGCAAGCUAACCCCUACAAUGCUAGCUACCUUGCGCAUGCUAGCAAUAGAAAAAGGAGUCGUAACUUCCAUGUGACAAAAACAUGGAAUACUUCUAGUCUUAUCCAUUAAAAGCCCCUGUUUGUUCUGCAUGCCGACGACUUCCUGUUUGUUUGUUUGUUUGUUUGUCUCCCUCAGCCCAUUAGCUCCAUCCUCCCUCCAGUGGAGAUCUGCAUGGAGGCCAUAGAGCCCCAAACAGAGCCAGAUCCAGAUCCAGACAAUGUUAGCCUCCCCUCCCAAAACCAAACCCCUGAGUGAGAUCAACCCGUACUCGACAGUCACGUCCGAUCAAAAUGAAUUAGACCGCAGCAUCACUCUGCACCUGAAGAUCUCCUGCCCCCCCUCGCCCAACCCUUCCCAGACGAGCCUUGCCUCCGGGGACCCUCCAUCACACCCGCCUCCACGCCAGCCUGUGCCCCAGGUCCGCAUCCAUGUGAAGUCAGACUAUGAGGAGUCUGGCCUCUACCGCAGACCACAACAGCGACACCGCCACCAUCACCAACACCAGCACCGACACCACCAGAGUCUCUACCCCUCUCAUGUCACACAUUUACCUGUAAUGCAAAGAGACUUUCACCCAAAGCUGCACCCAUACUUCAUAGACCAGUGUGCUGAGACCGUUCUUUAGACACAGCUGCUCUUUCACACGUAUACAACUCUGAGCUCUCAGGUCCGAUCUCUGCCGGCCUCCUGUAGUGAUAACAACAAAGAAACAACCAAAAUGUGUUCAUCAUAACUCUGAUAAGUGCAUGAAGCCACUCUGAACCUGCGUUAGUCAUCAGAACAGCUGAUCAUCAUCUGUUUUCCUGUUUUUUUUCUUGUGAGAGAAGUGAUAUACAUUAUGAUUUAUAUGCAUUAUGGAUGUGAAGACCUGAAAAUGUAAUAAACAACAUUUAAAGUUUAA